rfam:Folsomia candida strain VT population Fcan01_Sc006, whole genome shotgun sequence.
AUCUCUUCUCUGCCUUUGGGCUAAGAUCAAAGUGUAGUAUCUGUUCUUAUCAGUAGAAUACAAAUUGUAGAACUGACUAAUUUCAACUUUCUCUCUUU